AUGACCGAUGCUUCAAGGAAUUACACGCGCGACACCGGGGAAGCAGUAGCAUGGAGCUUGUACAGGCUACAGCUGAUGCUCUGUUGGUGGCUGGAGGUGUCGCGCGGAGACACGGCAGUGAUGCUGGUGAAAGUUGGGAUGGAAGUGAUGGCGUGGUUCUAUCAGGGAAUCAAGCGACCCAAUUCAGAUUUAUUGACGCAAAUCAACGGCUGGCUAGGCGGCUUAUCUUUUUCUAAGAUCAGCCGGCUGACGCCUAGCAGCGGCCCAACAAUCAUUGUUUGUGUCAGUGUCAAGCUGACUAAGUAUGCAUGUGACUGCAAGAGGUGGGACAUGUCAACAGUAGCAUGCCACCAUGCAAUAGUUGCAAUACAAAAGAUAAAGCUACACCAUGAGGAUUUUGUGCAUCCUUUCUUCAAGAAGGGACUUUACAUUGCAGCCUACAAGCACGUCAUAUACCAUGUGCCAAGUCCUGAAUUUUGGCCAAACACACAAACAUGGGACACAUCACCACUUGUAUUCAGAGAAAAGAAAGGAAAAAAAACUACUAGGAAGAAGGGACGGUUUGAGAACCAUGUUCAUUGGAUCUUCAUCAACAACACCCGGAGCAAAUGGGUCUACAUCUGCCCCACCUUCAGCUUCUUCCGCACCUACACUUGCAGCAAGAGAUACAUGUCUGUGAUGAACUAUGUUUGGUCAGUGUUGCUGAACUAUGUUGGUAUAGUGCUGCUGAACUAUGGUGCCUCCGCGCCCUGGCCGGACACACCUCCUCUUCUUCCUCAUUAUAAAGAAGAUAAGAAGUGGGAUGGCGGGAAGUUGCCGACGGGGGCAGUAGCAGCAUCCUGGUUGAUUGCAAAGCACAUGGCACGCAACAACAUUGUGCUGCAGACGCCACCUGGUGCCUUCCCACCAAGAGGCAGCACCAACACAUUCUGCGUCCUCCGCGGCCGGAUUAAUACAAAGGAGUACCCGAAUGAUUUCGUCAAUGGCCGGGCAAGGAAACAGCAGGAUUCGCGUACUCACCAUGUCGUCUUAAGCAGGCUCGUCGGCCAAGGAACCGACUCCGGCGUUGCGCAUUUACGCACCCGGAAGCUUGGCUUCACCGGAAUCCACUAUUUAAAGGCGGUCACACCCCGACUAAACUCCAUACGGACACAUCCGCUCCACAUCCUCCUCCCUUGCACCACAUCCACCAUGAUCGCAAGUGGGAACGCUCUGUGGGAGAGCCUGUCGACGGGAUGA
rnacentral:rRNA from 1 species